UACGUAGGGUGCGAGCGUUAAUCGGAAUUACUGGGCGUAAAGCGUGCGCAGGCGGUUCGUGAUGUCUGAUGUGAAAGCCCCGGGCUUAACCUGGGAAUGGCAUUGGAAACUAGCGGGCUGGAGUGUGGCAGAGGGGGGUGGAAUUCCACGUGUAGCAGUGAAAUGCGUAGAGAUGUGGAGGAACACCGAUGGCGAAGGCAGGUCUCUGGGCUGACACUGACGCUCAUGCACGAAAGCGUGGGGAGCAAACAGG
rnacentral:rRNA from 1 species